GCGACACUAGCUCAGUUGGUAGAGCGCAACCUUGCCAAGGUUGAGGUCACGCUUAUGUUCAAGGGAAAGCGAACCUCGUGUGUCGCUCCA
rnacentral:tRNA from 1 species